rnacentral:misc_RNA from 1 species
AGAAGAAGCUAAGAAAUCAAAUCUGCAGAGGAAAACAAAAAUAAGAAACCUGUAUUUUGAAUGGAGUGAUGGACGAGAAGUAGGGUGCAAUGAUGUGGAAGUGUUGGAAGGCCUUGAGCCUCGCCCAAAUAUAGAGGGAAUAGUGAUAGUGAAUUAUUUGGGUGAAAAAUUCCCGCCAUGGCUGUUGAUGAUGAAAAUUCCAAGUGACGGAGAUUCUUCCAGAGCAUUCGAUAAUUUGGUGCGGCUUGUGUUGCGGAACUGUAAGUGCUGUGAACAACUCCCAAUGCUUGGACAUCUUCGUCGUCUUAAAGAACUUUGGAUUGCUGGAAUGAAUAAGAUCAGAAGUAUAGGAAAUG